rnacentral:rRNA from 1 species
UACGUAGGGACCAAGCGUUGUUCGGAUUUACUGGGCGUAAAGGGCGCGUAGGCGGCGUGACAAGUCACUUGUGAAAUCUCCGGGCUUAACUCGGAACGGUCAAGUGAUACUGUUGUGCUAGAGUACAGAAGGGGCAAUCGGAAUUCUUGGUGUAGCGGUGAAAUGCGUAGAUAUCAAGAGGAACACCAGAGGCGAAGGCGGAUUGCUGGGCUGAUACUGACGCUGAGGCGCGAAAGCUAGGGGAGCAAACGGG